GACGAACGCUGGCGGCGUGCUUAACAUAUGCAAGUCGAACGGUAAGGCCCUUCGGGGUACCCGAGUGGCGAACGGGUGAGUAACACGUGGGUGAUCUGCCCUGCACUUCGGGACAAGACUGGGAAACUGGUUCUAAUACCGGAUAGGACUCCGGCCUGCAUGGUCUGGGGUGGAAAGCUCUUGCGGUGUGGGAUGGGCCCGCGGCCUAUCACCUUGUUGGUGGGGUGAUGGCUUACCAAGGCGACGACGGGUAGCCGGCCUGAGAGGGUGACCGGCCACACUGGGACUGAGAUACGGCCCAGACUCCUACGGGAGGCAGCAGUGGGGAAUAUUGCACAAUGGGCGCAAGCCUGAUGCAGCGACGCCGCGUGAGGGAUGACGGCCUUCGGGUUGUAAACCUCUUUCAGCAUCAACGAAGCGAAAGUGACGGUAGGUGCAGAAGAAGGACCGGCCAACUACGUGCCAGCCGCCGCCGUAA
rnacentral:rRNA from 1 species